rnacentral:rRNA from 1 species
GACGGAGGAUGCAAGCGUUAUCCGGAUUUAUUGGGCGUAAAGCGUCCGUAGGCGGUUUCAAAAGUCUGUUGUUAAAGCCCACAGCUCAACUGUGGAUCGGCAAUGGAAACUGUGAGACUAGAGAGUGGUAGGGGUAGAGGGAGUUCCUAGUGUAGCGGUGAAAUGCGUAGAUAUUCGGAGGAACACCAAUGGCGAAGGCGGCUCACUGGUCCAUUACUGACGCUGAGGUGCGAAAGCGUGGGGAGCAAACAGG